rnacentral:lncRNA from 1 species
GACCGGCUGCCGGACCUCACGGCGUGUAGGAAAAGCGACGAUGGAGACAAUGCUGUCAUCAUCACGGUGGAGAAGGACCACUUCAUGGAUGCCUUCUUCCAUCAGGGCCAUCAAUGUUGCUUUGAAAGUGAUGCUUUCAAAUGAAAUUGAAAUGCCACCCGUGCUCUGGAACCAGCACUCUGCCUGGAUUUCAGCCUCCAUAGCGACACAGCCAAGAAGUUCAAAUAAUGUUUUUUAUUAAAUUUAAAAAAUGAUAUGUGUA